CGUAAAGCGUGCGUAGGCGGUUCGUUAAGUCAGAUGUGAAAGCCCUGGGCUCAACCUGGGAACUGCAUUUGAAACUGGCGGACUAGAGUUUAGUAGAGGGGAGUGGAAUUUCAGGUGUAGCGGUGAAAUGCGUAGAUAUCUGAAGGAACACCAGUGGCGAAGGCGACUCCCUGGACUAGAACUGACGCUGAGGUACGAAAGCGUGGGUAGCAAACAGGAUUAGAUACCCUGGUAGUCCACGCCGUAAACGAUGUCGACUAGCCGUUGGUCCUAUUUACAGGAUUAGUGGCGCAGCUAACGCAUUAAGUCGACCGCCUGGGGAGUACGGCCGCAAGGUUAAAACUCAAAUGAAUUGACGGGGGCCCGCACAAGCGGUGGAGCAUGUGGUUUAAUUCGAUGCAACGCGAAGAACCUUACCUACCCUUGACAUCCAGAGAAUCUGUUAGAGAUAGUAGAGUGCCUUCGGGAACUCUGAGACAGGUGCUGCAUGGCUGUCGUCAGCUCGUGUCGUGAGAUGUUGGGUUAAGUCCCGUAACGAGCGCAACCCUUAUCCUUAGUUGCCAGCGGGUCAUGCCGGGAACUCUAGGGAGACUGCC
rnacentral:rRNA from 1 species